UACAGAGGGCGCGAGCGUUGUCCGGAAUCACUGGGCGUAAAGGGCGCGUAGGUGGCCACCAUAAGGCCGCGGUGAAAGUCUAGGGCUCAACCCUAGAUCUGCCGCGGCGACUGUGGGGCUAGGGCACCGUAGAGGCAGAUGGAAUUCCGGGUGUAGCGGUGGAAUGCGUAGAUAUCGUAAGGAAGACCAGUGGCGAAGGCGGGUCUCUGGACAGUUCCUGACGCUGAGGCACGAAGGUCAGGGGAGCAAACGGG
rnacentral:rRNA from 1 species